ensembl:lncRNA
UCUCAUCAUCAAAAGAAUUCAGGAUGACAGGGGAGAUUUCAUGUUUUUGGCUCUGGGAACGCAGAGGCGUGCCCCGACAGGCCGGCUGUCUGCGUGCCCUGCCAGCUGCAGAGCUCUUCUGGCGGUUCCCAGCUCGGAGCAGAAGUGCUGUCCCUCGUGCCACCACUGCUGCUGUGCCGUGCAGUCCGGGCUGUGCUCACACCCCAUGCCGCCCCGCGCUCAGCUCUACUCAGCUCCUCAUCACGGCCCCGAUGCUCCUCCUCUUUAUGAGACUUGGUUAAAAAUAACGCGGUUUGAUCUUCCAUGUGCAAAAGGCUGCAACAUCUGUUCCCUGAAGGAGAAAUUAG